rnacentral:rRNA from 1 species
AUAGAAAGUUUAAAUGRRGUUAACUGUAAGAAUCAACUUAAUGAUCUCUUUUCUUAGUUUCGGUUGGAUAAAAGAAUACUUAUUUGAUAAAGUAGAAGUACCGUAAGGGACAAACUUAAUGUAGUAUUUAUUAGAAAAGUAGGGGUAAAACCCCGUACCUUGUGUAUUAGGGUUUAGUAAAUUUCUUUGAUAAAGGGAAGCAUCCCGAUGUUGAGUGAGUUAACUUUAAUUAUAAUUGAGUGUAGCAACACUCUUUGAGAAUUAAGGUUAGAGUGAAAUGCAAUUCGUACUUAUGUUUCUGGUUUCUUAGGAAAUGAAUUUAAUUCAGCUGGUUGGAAGAUUUAAAAUUGGUAGCUCAUUUUAAAUUAAUAAACUAAAAAAACUUCAGGGGGAUGAGCUCUUGCGGUUAACUAAUAUAGGAGUUAAAAGGGUAAGAAUAAUGUAGUAGAGAAAGUUUUAGAAUUACUCCAUAAAUGAUGUUUGUUAUAAAUUACACUAUCUAAAAAUAUAUUUAUAUUCUYUUGCUCUAAACUACUAAGAUAAGUUCUAUAACGAUUAAAGAACUGAAAUUCUUCUAGAAUAAGUAGAUUAUUGAUGCUAAAUUAAACUAAUUAAUGGGGUUUAGAAUUACAUUUAAUUAUUAUUUCCAUUAAGGAACUCGGCAAUUAUAUUUUCCGCAUGCUCCUCUCAAGCAUCUCUUUUAGUUAACUUAAAAGUAUCGCCUGCUCAGUGCCAAUAGGUUAACAGCCGCAGUAUUUUGACUGUGCAAAGGUAGCAUAAUCAUUUGUCUUUUCAUUAAAGGCUAGAAUGAAUGGCGGGACGAGAAAAUACCUGUCUCCUUGAAAUAACUUGAAUUUCAUAUUUGAGUGCAAAAGCUUAAAUACUCUUAAAAGACGAUCAGACCCUAUGGAGCUUUAUCAAGAUCCUUUUUGAGUUAAUUUGUUCUAACCUAAAAAGUAGAUUGAUUUUGUUGGGGUGACAAAGAGUUGAAACUAACUCUCUUUUAUACAAAUACAUCUUAGUAGAUUAUUGAUCCUAGGUGAUAGAUUAAAAGACUAAGUUACCCUAGGGAUAACAGCGUUAUUUUUCUGGAGAGUUCUAAUCGAUAGAGAAGUUUGCGACCUCGAUGUUGGAUCAAAGUUCCUUUGGGGUGUAGUCGUUCCAAAAGGAGGUCUGUUCGACCUUUAAAUCUUUACGUGAUCUGAGUUCAGACCGGCGUGAGCCAGGUCGGGUUCUAUCUUUAAGUUAAUUAAAUCUUCUUAGUACGAAAGGACCAGUAAAUUAAAAUAUAGUUUUUUGAUUCAAUUAAAUUAUUCA